rnacentral:rRNA from 1 species
ACGAACGCUGGCGGCAUGCCUAACACAUGCCAGUCGAACGAGACCUUCGGGUCUAGUGGCGCACGGGUGCGUAACGCGUGGGAACCUGCCCUUAGGUUCGGAAUAACUCCCCGAAAGGGGUGCUAAUACCGGAUAAUGUCUUCGGACCAAAGAUUUAUCGCCUUUGGAUGGGCCCGCGUUGGAUUAGCUAGUUGGUAGGGUAAAAGCCCACCAAGGCGACGAUCCAUAGCUGGUCUGAGAGGAUGAUCAGCCACACUGGGACUGAGACACGGCCCAGACUCCUACGGGAGGCAGCAGUGGGGAAUAUUGGACAAUGGGCGAAAGCCUGAUCCAGCAAUGCCGCGUGAGUGAUGAAGGCCUUAGGGUUGUAAAGCUCUUUUACCCGGGAUGAUAAUGACAGUACCGGGAGAAUAAGCUCCGGCUAACUCCGUG